rnacentral:rRNA from 1 species
GCGGGAUGCUUUACACAUGCAAGUCGAACGGCAGCGCGAAGAAAGCUUGCUUUCUUUGGCGGCGAGUGGCGAACGGGUGAGUAAUGUAUCGGAACGUACCCAGUAGCGGGGGAUAACUACGCGAAAGCGUGGCUAAUACCGCAUACGCCCUACGGGGGAAAGGGGGGGAUCAUUUGACCUCUCACUAUUGGAGCGGCCGAUAUCGGAUUAGCUAGUUGGUGGGGUAAAGGCCUACCAAGGCGACGAUCCGUAGCUGGUUUGAGAGGACGACCAGCCACACUGGGACUGAGACACGGCCCAGACUCCUACGGGAGGCAGCAGUGGGGAAUUCUGGACAAUGGGGGCAACCCUGAUCCAGCCAUCCCGCGUGUGCGAUGAAGGCCUUCGGGUUGUAAAGCACUUUUGGCAGGGAAGAAAAGGCUUCUGGUUAAUACCCGGAGCUGCUGACGGUACCUGCAGAAUAAGCACCGGCUAACUACGUGCCAGCAGCCGCGGUAAUACGUAGGGUGCAAGC